rnacentral:lncRNA from 1 species
CGACGCUUGCGGGCCAAGGAAGUCAUCUGCCCUGCACCUCUGACGUUAGUGGAAACUGAGGCCCAAGAGAGGGCCACGCUGCCCAAGGUCAGCAGCAGGGCUGCGUUGGCGCCAAGUGUGGUAGUUGGGCCCAGUGAAGAUCGUAGGCAUGACGUUGUGAAGCUGGAUUUGGCCUGAUUUCCCCGUGCGAUCUGAGGGUGGGGUUGGCUCGUUUGUAGACAGUCUCGUUUUGUGUGCUUUCCCUGGAACGGGGUUGCUCAGGGCCUGCUUUGCACACUGCCUGUGUCCAGGGCUGGGAUGACUGUUCCUUUCUGCCCCUCCAGCGCCGGAGUACUGGAGCCCUCCUGGACUGGAUGCUAUGAGUUGCUAAAAGUGAGCCUGGCUUUUUAG